rnacentral:rRNA from 1 species
UACGUAGGUGACAAGCGUUGUCCGGAUUUACUGGGCGUAAAGAGCGCGCAGGCGGUCGAUCAAGUCGAGUGUGAAAGCCCCCGGCUCAACUGGGGAGGGUCAUUCGAUACUGAUCGACUCGAAGGCAGGAGAGGGUAGUGGAAUUCCCGGUGUAGUGGUGAAAUGCGUAGAUAUCGGGAGGAACACCAGUGGCGAAGGCGGCGCCCUGGCUCGCAACUGACGCUCAGACACGACAGCAUGGGGAGCGAACGGG